AUGCAAAGCCACAUCCAGUCUUGGAAAUCGGCCACACCCUAUCUCAUCUGAUCUCAGAAGCUAAGCAGGAUUGGGCCUGGUUAGUACUUGGAUGGGAGAAAGCCUGGCAUUUUACAAC
ensembl:rRNA 5S_rRNA 5S ribosomal RNA